CCUCCUUUCUAAGGAUAUUGACAUUUGGUUCGCUAAGUGUCCGGGUUGUUGUCUACUUAUCUCUUUAUAAUAUUAGCUAGUGCUAGGUGUUUCCUUUAUCAAACUGGGCCGGUAGCUCAGUUGGUUAGAGCGCGCGCUUGAUAAGCGUGAGGUCGGAAGUUCAAGUCUUCCUCGGCCCACCAUUAAAACGGGGGGAUUAGCUCAGCUGGGAGAGCGCCUGAUUUGCAUUCAGGAGGUCAGCGGUUCGAUCCCGCUAUCCUCCACCAAACUUCUAAUAUUAUAUCUUAUUUGUUCUUUAAUAUUGUGAAUAUGAAUUUAAUAACUGAUCAAAAUAAUUUUAUUAUUGAUUAAAAUACGUACAAAAUUUUUCUCUGUACGUAAUUGCAAUCAAGCGCAAAAGGGCAUUUAGUGGAUGCCUUGGCAUCAAGAGA
rnacentral:misc_RNA from 1 species